ensembl:lncRNA
GCAGGAAGGAAGGACUUUUAUUCAAGCCAAGUAAACAAUACAGAGAGAGACCAGCACGUGAACAAGACAAUUACUGCAGCUUCUGAUGCAUUGUUGGCGAUGUAGGAACUUAGCCAUCUCCCUCCUGUGAUGGUUCAUAAUCACAUUGUAGUUCUUUUGUCUUUUUUGGAAAAUGAAUUUUUUUUUCGUAUGAAGGCCCCCUUAAUGAAAAGCACAAUGAAAAAAAUAAGAUUUCCUUAAGCUAACCUUAAAGGUGAAGUAGGUAAGAUUUGAGAGCUGUUAUUAUUCGUGAGUCAUUUUGGAGAAAUGGUCGUCAGCAGUUUUGUUAUUGUUCCGGAGAAUUGAGAACAUUGAAUACUGUUUUGAAUUUUCUGCGUUGUAUUUGUUAAAAAAUCUUGAACUCUUCAUUUACUAUCUCUCUGUCUGUCUUUCUACUCUUAAAUCUUACCAUCAGCAUCUUUAAUCUCAUUGAAUAAAACAACAGCAGCCGGACCCGUCCUGUGAGUCCUCAGGUCGAACGGUUUGACCGGCGGUGUGAAUAACCAGGUAGAGAAGGCAGUGGAAGUGUGUACAACACAACAGGAAUGUUCAGGAAACACAAUAACACGCACAGAUCGUCAAAUAUGUACAAAUCCAAAACACAGACAAGCCUCAUCCAUCGUCAGUCAGAUGAGACCCUUACCCCCCUGAUCCCACAGGCUAACACUAUGGGGAUCCAUACUGGGUUUAUAAAGGAUGCAUGGAGCAGCCAUAGUGCAUGUACUGUCUCACUACUGGUGAGGAGGUGGUGGUGGUGGUGGUGGUGGUGUUGGCAUGUUUCCAUGGCACAUGCAGAGAGCCACACAGAAGCAAAUACAGUAACCUGCCUCUAGCACUGACAACAACGGCGCAUGCUUACCAGGACACGGUACUGGGGCCUGGAGCAACAUGAGGAUGGGCGACGUGAGAGGAUACCCGGGCAUGGAUGGAGCGAGCGGGCAUCGCGUAAAUACUGCCAAGGCCGGGUGAUACCUCAGUGUAGACGCCCACACUGUAGUGGGUACACCAUGGGUCUCCACAUCACGGCUGUACGCCCCAUUCCAAAAAUCUGAACCCCCGUCAGGGCGACAGACAUAUCCAUAUACUCACAUGUAUAUCUUCAUACACAUCUGUCCUAUGACAGAUCAGCCAGAUGUUACGCAAUUAGUGUCUUUGUUUAGCUUUGGGUGCCCUCAGAAUCCCAGAGGCACCCAGACCUACGGCGUACCUGCUUCCUGGGUGUCUACAGUACAUAGAACCAGUGUGAUCACCCCUAAACGCAAACAUGUCCCCAGCACCCCCCACUACGUCCCGUGAAGUCCCGUGGUAACCACGGUUACCGCCUCCGCCGCACGGCGACGCCGCCAUCGCCGUGGUCAUCAU